UUUUUAGUUGGAUUGGCUUUGGGCCUUUCCUGCGCAGCUUAGGUGGAAGGCGAAGAAGGCCUCCUUCCGGGGGGACCCGAGCCAUCAGUGAGAUACCACUCUGAAAGAGCUAGAAUUCUAACCUUGUGUCAAGACCUACGGGCCAAGGGACAGUCUCAGGUAGACAGUUUCUAUGGGGCGUAG
rnacentral:ncRNA from 1 species